rnacentral:lncRNA from 11 species
UAAAAUGAUAUUAUUUCAUUUAUUUCUUUAUGUAAUCCAUUUCAGGGCUGGUCCUAAUGAGGCAACUGCCUCAGGUGACAGAUGGCAGUAUACCAACCAUCCCUCUACUGUCCUUUGGCCACAGAUGUGGUGGAGGAUGCAUGCAGUCCCAUUAGCAGCAUUCAUUAUUCAAUUAGCUGAAAAGAUACUGAAAAGUUUGAACCAAGCAGAAGACUAAAUUGAAGAGAAUGAGCCAUAAAGAAAUGAAAUGCACUGUGAGUUUUUGAAGCAUACUGAGUACAACUUGAUUAAAAAACACAACACCCGAGGAAGUGAAAACGAAACAAGGGAAACAUCCCGGGGAGACCUUGUUGUGUGUAUAACAUUUCCUGGCAUUGCUAUCUACACGAAGAAUUCCUUUGAACGUGUAUCAUUUCUUGGCAUUGCAAACCAAAAGAAGAAUACCUUUGAACAUAAUUAUUUUGGAGACUGAAAACCUUACUUCAAGUGAUAAAGACCAAAGACUCCACGCAACUCCAGGAAACAUAUUGACUGGUUGUCUCUUUAUGUCCUUCAAUAAUAUAUGAUGUCAAGAUUAUAACAUGAAAUUGUACCAUUGUGGAUGAUAUUUUGAAAACUAUUAUUUUGAUGAGAAAUACUCUAAUAUAGAGCUGUUAGAAUAUUGAUUUGUAUUAUAAUUUGUGGGAAUUUGUAAGUGUGUAUACACAUACACUUUGCUCUACAUUAUUAUAGAUAUUGUGCAUUUUUCGCUUCCCUUUCCCAGUAGACCCAAACAAAAUCAGACUGCUGCACUCUGUUUUAAUUUGUUUCCCAGAUUAACUACACUUUGAUGUUGUGUCCCAGUUUUCAUCUGUGAAAUAUUGUAAGGUAAAGACACCUCUGUUGGAACAGCACCUUGUUCUUCUACACAGGCAAAGCCAGGGCAAAAUGUGCAGUAAUAGGGUUGUGGUGUGUUUUUUUCAGAAUGUAUGGCCAUGUUCCAGAAGUAUUCUCUCCUGACGUUUCGCCCACAUCUAUGGCAGGCAUCCUCAUUUCUGUCUAAAUGUUCAGAAAAAGAAUUUAGGACCCCAACAUUGAGCUAAGGGGACUCACAGUUUAAACUGGAGCUGGGACCCACAGUUUAAAAAGCAUUGCUAUGAGCAUUACUGAUUCUAGUUUGGUCACAGCUAUUUCAUUAGAUCUCAGACUAAGGUCGUGCCCAAAAAGUCCUACACUGCUUGAACAAGAUUCCACUUACAGGUAUAUAGACAGAGAGGGAUCUCUGGAGCCAGCAAAGCAUUGUUUGUCAUCAACUUAAGCACAGGGCCCCCCGGUGGCGCAGUGAGUUAAACCCCUGUGCCGACAGGACUGCUGACUUGAAGGUUGGGUUGCUGAUCCAGGGGAGAGCACGGAUGAGUUCCCUCUAAUAGCUUUAGUUCCAUGCGGGGACAUGAGAGAAGCCUCGGACAAGGAUGGUAAAAACAUUAAAACAUCCAGGCAUCACCUGGGCAACGUCCUUGCAGACAGCCAAUACUUUCACACCAGCAGCAAAUUGCAGUUUCUCAAGUCACUCCUGACAUGGAAAAAACCUUAAUCAUGAUACAGUAUAGUGCAACAUUAUUGAGGGCUUGGAAAUAGAAAGAUUUGUUUUUCUGCAGGUAACUCUCAGAAUUUUCCAGGACACUGGCCAUGUUUACUGGAGAAUUCUGGGGGGUAAUUAAUUGCCCAAAAUAUAAUUUUCACAAAGCUCCAAACUUAUAAAAGUUUAAGAGUAGGACUAUGAAUUUUGAUUGAAUGUAAUGUGAUUGUCAUGCCAUCUAACCACACGCAAUCCACCAAUGUUUUUAUUGUAUUAAUGACUAUAUCAGUUUGACGCGAAACCUUCUUUAAUGAAUACCUGACAAGGAAAUCAUUCAAGAGGAAUUAUUUUACUUGACACAAGUGAAUUUCAUAUACUGAUUAUGAAUAAAAAUUCUUCACCAAUUAGCGAAAGAACCCCAUGGGAUAACCCUGUGAACCCUUCUUUCUGAAU